rnacentral:rRNA from 1 species
ACAAACCGGAGGAAGGCGGGGAUGACGUCAAAUCAUCAUGCCCCUUAUGUCUUGGGCUACACACGUGCUACAAUGGACGGUACAAAGGGUUGCGAAGCCGCGAGGUGAAGCCAAUCCCAGAAAGCCGUUCGUAGUUCGGAUUGCAGGCUGCAACUCGCCUGCAUGAAGCCGGAAUUGCUAGUAAUCGCGGAUCAGCAUGCCGCGGUGAAUUCGUUCCCGGGCCUUGUACACACCGCCCGUCACACCAUGGGAGUUGGUAACACCCGAAGUCGGUGAGGUAACUGCUUGCAGAGCCAGCCGCCUAAGGUGGGAUCGAUAACUGGGGUGAAGUCGUAACAAGGUAGCCGUAUCGGAAGGUGCGGCUGGAUCACCUCCUUUCU